CUGGCAUUAUUGUCUAUUGUUUAAACAUGUGAGGAUUUAGAGAUAAACAAAAGUGAACACAGUCCUUGCCAUUACAGGGCUUACAAUCUAGUUCCAAGUAGAGAGAGGCCUGGACAAAGACCCAAAGGCAGAAAAACACAGAUGUGUUCAUAGAAUAGAGAGAGAACAUCUUGGUCAGAUUGUAAUGGGCAAAGGAGAAAGUUGGAGAGAGACUGGAACACCAAGCAGGGCUUUGGAAGUCAUGGUGUGGAUCUCAGAUUUUAUUUUAAAGACGGGAGGCCAAUAAAGGUAAAAGGGGGAAUGAUGUGGUUACUGGAGCAGAACAUGAGUUCAGUAAAUGUGGCUUGGGAUUGUUAGAAUACUGAUGCUGGACUGAUGGAUGAAGGCUGUGAGUCCCUUCUGUGGCCUGGGGCCAAAGCUUUCUAGGUGUCCAAGCUCUGGUCCAGUGAGGUGUGUGGAGGACCCACCCAUCCAUCAGGGUUCCUGUAGCCCAGUGAGGCCAUAGAGACCCACUCUAUCCACUGCCUGGAAGAAGGGGCUUACUGCUCCGGAGGCAGAUGAGCCUUGAAGAGAGAGAUCCUCCAGUGAGCAGGAUGCAGGCCCCCUCCAUUCUGCGAGAUGAGAAAGCAGUGUGGGAGUCUCCUGGAUGUCUGCGACCCCAGUGCCCAGGAUUGGCCCUGCUUACUCCUGGAGACUGCUGCUCCCCCUUCCCCGUGAUCAAGGGGAUUCCAGAGUUGAGAGAAUCCCAAGAGGAUCACCUCACCUCUUGGAUGCUGUCAGGAUGUCCUGAAGAGUAAGCCUAAGGACAGAAGAAGAGGGAAGACCCGCCUUCAGGCAGCCUGGGGAGGAUACACUUGGUGUCUCAUCAGAACUCUCCAGGCUGGUUGCACUGGAGUGAGUGGCUGAUGUGUGAGUGGCAGCUCUAUUGCUGCCUCAAUGGCGACCAAGCAGCGCCAUUUCUGAGCCUGUUUCCCCAGAGCUCACAAGCCUCCCAAGAGAAGUCAUCUAGAGAACUUGACCCUCUGUUCUCCUCUACCAUCUCCCACUCCUGCCUCUAUGGGAACUCCAGUCUCCAGAUGUGGGCUGGAAUGCCGGCUGACGUGCCAACUCCCAGCAGACACUGUAAUUCAGGAACUCUGAGGCCUUCAGGGCCCCGGGCGGCUCCGGGCAGCAGCUCAGGCCCGGAGAUCGUCGAUCGAAGACCCGGAGAUACACCAGGAAGCAGUCUAGACAGCACUUCUGCAACUGUGGACAGGCGGGCCGGGUCUGAACCGACGCCGAACCAGGGCUACCACGGGGACAAUCGCUAGUGGCGGGUUUCCUGGCCCUAGGAAAGACCCACGUGGUGCAAUCGGAAGCAGGUGAACGCCCUUGGCUGGAUUUCAUUGGGACCGGUGGCCUGGAAGAUCGAAACCUCCUUCCGGCAGGUCAGGUAGACAGCCUGAGGAGAGUUCCCAAACUGGACCAAUUUCGGGAGGAGGUGACUUCAGAUGAAGGAGGCUUGGAAGAUAUAUUGGAAGGAACUUACACAAAGUCCAGAGGCUGGACCAUAGAAGAGAGGUCAAGAUUCUGUGGAUCAGGAAUUAAGCCACGACUUGGCUUGGCAACUGGGCAAUUCUUCUGCUCCCUGUGGCAUCAUCAGUGGUCACUCAGUGGGACUCAGCUGACCGACAGAUUAGUCCAGAGGAUCCAAGACAGCUUCACACAGACCUGAAUGACUGGCUGAGCUCAGCUAGAAGUGUCUUCAGGAGUACCUGCGCAUGGCCUUGCCAGCUGGCCAGUCUCACGGCAGGCUUACCUGGCGGCUGCUCCCUCCAGAGUGAGCGCUGCAGGAGAACCAGACAGAAGCUGGCCUUUCGUGAUACAGCCGCUGAAGCCAUGUAGCAUUACUUCCUAUAAAAUGUUGGUCGAAACAGCCACAGCAUCCCAUCUGGAGUCACAGGGAGGGGACAGAGACCCACCUUUCGAUGGAAGGAAUAACAGUGACCAUUUAAAAAAAAUGCCACAAGGAUAAGUUGUUCUCAGUGCAACAAGUCCAGAGAGGUUCAGCAACUUUCCCCAAGGACAGUUACGGAUAUGAACGGUGCUAGGAAGGAAACAAAAAACAGGGUGAAAGGCAGAGAAUGAAAGGAGAUGGUGGGAAACCAGGACCUGCUGUAUAGCAGAGGGAACUAUAUUCAGUAUCCUGUGAUAAACCAUAUGGAAAAGGAUAUUAAAAAAU
ensembl:lncRNA